AUAUCAUUCACUUUUCUGCGCACACUAGCCCCAACAUUUCUUACAUAAAGUGUUUUAUGAAAAAAAAAACCCUCUUGUCCUCCUAUAUUGGAAAUAUCGCCCCUAGCUGCCUGCACCAUUGGCAAGCACAAUUUUGAAGACAUCACUGUGUGGUGUCACUGAGGCACUGUGGGUGGAGUUUUGAGUUCAGUGAAUGAGGAGACUGAGGUGUGAUUGGUGCUCAGUGAUUGUGGUGGAACAGAUUGACUGUAAGAACACAGUUUUUCUGGACCCAAGACUCUACACUCUGCACAGUAGGGGUGAAGACACCCCAAUAACUGGACAAGGAAUCAUGAGGAGAUACUGGGGAGCUGUGCUGGGGCUCCUGUGGGUGCAUGGUUGCUUAGUGACAGGGAUGAAGGUGGAGCAGAGCCCUUCAGCCCUGAGCCUGCAGGAGGGAGCCAGCUGUACUCUGAAGUGCAAUUAUUCUAGUACUCCGGACAAUGUGCAGUGGUUCCGACAGAAUCCCGGGGGCGGCAGCCUUACCAGGCUGUUUUAUAUAGCUUCAGGGAUGAUGCAGAGCGGAAGGCUAAACUGCACACUGAAUGCUAAGGAACGGUUCAGCACCCUCCACGUCGCGGCCUCUCAGCUGGAAGACUCAGCCACCUACCUGUGUGCGGUGGAGGCACAGUGCUCCCUGGUGAUCUGCAGCUUGCCCCCAAACUGCCGCUGGGCCUGCAGCACCAGCACUUCCCUGGGGAGGGCAUGUGCUUGCACAGAGCCGCACGUUUUCAGAUUUUCAGAUUUAUGUUACAGCAUUUUUUUCUCCUAAAAUAGGCUCAGCAGAACUUUCAUUAUACUUGCAUAUCUUGCCCUUUUACUUUCCAGAAAGCUCUUUGCAGGUAAAAAGCUCAACCAUGGAAGCAUUGGAGCAAGUGAUAGAGAUGCCUAUAUCCGAUGCCCUGGGAAAACAACCUCCUGGCAAGCUGCAUACAAAUUAUGUAUAAAUUACUAAAAUGGAAAAGACUAAAAAAAUGGUCAUCUACAAAUAGAGAUGACUGAAAUUUUACUCACCUGUGAGUAGUUGUUUUUAUAGAAAUAUAAAGAUAAUAUAUGCAAUAUUUUUUCAAGUCUGCAUUCAGCUUUAUC